rnacentral:rRNA from 1 species
UACGAAGGGGGCUAGCGUUGCUCGGAAUCACUGGGCGUAAAGGGUGCGUAGGCGGGUCUUUAAGUCAGGGGUGAAAUCCUGGAGCUCAACUCCAGAACUGCCUUUGAUACUGAAGAUCUUGAGUUCGGGAGAGGUGAGUGGAACUGCGAGUGUAGAGGUGAAAUUCGUAGAUAUUCGCAAGAACACCAGUGGCGAAGGCGGCUCACCUGGCCCGAUACUGACGCUGAGGCACGAAAGCGUGGGGAGCAAACAGG